CAGGCUUAACACAUGCAAGUCGAGGGGCAGCAUGGUCUUAGCUUGCUAAGGCCGAUGGCGACCGGCGCACGGGUGAGUAACACGUAUCCAACCUGCCGUCUACUCUUGGACAGCCUUCUGAAAGGAAGAUUAAUACAAGAUGGCAUCAUGAGUCCGCACGUUCACAUGAUUAAAGGUAUUCCGGUAGACGAUGGGGAUGCGUUCCAUUAGAUAGUAGGCGGGGUAACGGCCCACCUAGUCUUCGAUGGAUAGGGGUUCUGAGAGGAAGGUCCCCCACAUUGGAACUGAGACACGGUCCAAACUCCUACGGGAGGCAGCAGUGAGGAAUAUUGGUCAAUGGGCGAGAGCCUGAACCAGCCAAGUAGCGUGAAGGAUGACUGCCUUAUGGGUUGUAAACUUCUUUUAUAAAGGAAUAAAGUCGGGUAUGGAUACCCGUUUGCAUGUACUUUAUGAAUAAGGAUCGGCUAACUCCGUGCCAGCAGCCGCGGUAAUACGGAGGAUUCGAGCGUUAUCCGGAUUUAUUGGGUUUAAAGGGAGCGUAGAUGGAUGUUUAAGUCAGUUGUGAAAGUUUGCGGCUCAACCGUAAAAUUGCAGUUGAUACUGGAUAUCUUGAGUGCAGUUGAGGCAGGCGGAAUUCGUGGUGUAGCGGUGAAAUGCUUAGAUAUCACGAAGAACUCCGAUUGCGAAGGCAGCCUGCUAAGCUGCAACUGACAUUGAGGCUCGAAAGUGUGGGUAUCAAACAGGAUUAGAUACCCUGGUAGUCCACACGGUAAACGAUGAAUACUCGCUGUUUGCGAUAUACGGCAAGCGGCCAAGCGAAAGCGUUAAGUAUUCCACCUGGGGAGUACGCCGGCAACGGUGAAACUCAAAGGAAUUGACGGGGGCCCGCACAAGCGGAGGAACAUGUGGUUUAAUUCGAUGAUACGCGAGGAACCUUACCCGGGCUUAAAUUGCAGAUGAAUUACGGUGAAAGCCGUAAGCCGCAAGGCAUCUGUGAAGGUGUUGCAUGGUUGUCGUCAGCUCGUGCCGUGAGGUGUCGGCUUAAGUGCCAUAACGAGCGCAACCCUUGUUGUCAGUUACUAACAGGUUCUGCUGAGGACUCUGACAAGACUGCCAUCGUAAGAUGUGAGGAAGGUGGGGAUGACGUCAAAUCAGCACGGCCCUUACGUCCGGGGCUACACACGUGUUACAAUGGGGGGUACAGAGGGCCGCUACCACGCGAGUGGAUGCCAAUCCCAAAAACCUCUCUCAGUUCGGACUGGAGUCUGCAACCCGACUCCACGAAGCUGGAUUCGCUAGUAAUCGCGCAUCAGCCACGGCGCGGUGAAUACGUUCCCGGGCCUUGUACACACCGCCCGUCAAGCCAUGGGAGCCGGGGGUACCUGAAGUGCGUAACCGCGAGGAGCGCCCUAGGGUAAAACUGGUGACUGGGGC
rnacentral:rRNA from 1 species